UACGUAGGAGACGAGCGUUGUCCGGAAUUACUGGGCGUAAAGCGCGUGUAGGCGGAUGGGCAAGUCUGCUGUGAAAGCUCCUGGCUUAACCGGGAGUGGUCGGUGGAAACUGCCAAUCUGGAGGACGGUAGAGGUAGGUAGAAUUCCCGGUGUAGUGGUGAAAUGCGUAGAGAUCGGGAGGAAUACCUGUGGCGAAGGCGGCCUACUGGGCCGGACCUGACGCUGAGACGCGAAGGCGUGGGGAGGCGAACGGG
rnacentral:rRNA from 1 species